rnacentral:lncRNA from 1 species
AUUUCCCUUAGUGCCUGUCUUGUAAAUAAUCACCGCUCCCCAACCAGCCAUUCCCCAAAUGACAAGAACCAUCCUGUGGCCUUCUCCGCUCCCCAGCCUGGCCUGGCCUCAUUGUGCCUUGGAACUCUGUCCUCCUGCCUCACUCAAAAGGUACAUGAUUUGUAUCUUACUCCCACAACAGCGUGAUCCGAUGUCACCACAGGCGGGGACUUUUAAUGGGAAACCGAGACCCUGACCAGAUGGAAACUGCUGACUGAUGUCACAUAGACCUCAGACAAAAGGAAACUGAAGCCUGAACGAACUGCUGUUCUUUGUUCUAAAUUUCUUCCUGAGGGACCUGGAAAGACAGUCAUGACUGCAGGCCAUCAGUCUUGAUAACCUGACCACUCUGACCCAAUACAUAAUGGCUGUGACCUGACUCUCGCUUAGCACCCCAAGAUUGUUAAUAGGUUUCCUUAUCUUAACUAAUGUAGGUUAAAGCCAAACCUUGACAUCUCUUUCUGCUGACCCCAUGUUUUUAGACAAAGCCUUCCUCCAUUAACCCAUUGCAAAUUAAAGAAUCUCUGAAUUCACCUAAGACCUGUAAGCCUCUGCUUCAAGAUAUCCCACCUUUUUGGGCCAAACCCAUCUGUAACCUCCAUGAAUGAAUUCAUGAUUUUGCCUGUAACUUCUGCUUUUCUUAGAUGUACCCUUGUCUUUAAAAACCCUUGCUUGCAAGCCACUGGGGAGUCCAGAUCUUAAACAGGAGCUGCCCAUUCUCUGUGCUUGGUGCCCUGCAAUAAAUGCCUUCCUUUCUCUCAUUGUAAACCUCGGUGUCAGUGUUUGGCUUUGCUGAGCUGGGUGGGCAAACCUAGGCUCAGUUCCACAACAAUUACGAUAUCAUCAUCAUCAUUAGAGUCAUGAGGAAGAUGAAGAUGUGAAGAUGAUGCUGAUGAUGCUGAUGGUGACAGCUCCACAAUCC